CUGCCAGUCAUAUGCUUGUCUCAAAGAUUAAGCCAUGCAUGUCUGAGUACAGACCGAUCUAAGGUGAAACCGCGAAUGGCUCAUUAAAUCAGUCAUAAUUCCUUGGAUAGUGAAAAACUUUCCUCGGAUAACUGUGGAAAAUCCAGAGCUAAUACGUGCAACUGAGCUCCGACCUCGACGCGAGUCUUGGGAAGAGCGCAUUUAUUAGAUUCAAAACUGACCGGUGUAAUCCUUCGGGGUACGCCGUUCGUCAAAAUUUGAUGACUCCGGAAUAACUUAGCCGAGCGCUACGGCCUUAGUGCCGGCGCCGUAUCUUUCAAGUGUCUGCCUUAUCAGCUUUCGAUUGUAGGUUAAACGCCUACAAUGGCUGUAACGGGUAACGGGGAAUCAGGGUUCGAUUCCGGAGAGGGAGCCUGAGAAACGGCUACCACAUCUAAGGAAGGCAGCAGGCACGCAAAUUACCCACUCCCAGCCCGGGGAGGUAGUGACGAAAAAUAACGAUGCGAGACUCUUCCGAGGCCUCGCAAUCGGAAUGAGUCCAUUUUAAAUCCUUGGACGAGGAUCCAUUGGAGGGCAAGUCUGGUGCCAGCAGCCGCGGUAAUUCCAGCUCCAAUAGCGUAUAUUAAAGUUGCUGCGGUUAAAAAGCUCGUAGUUGGACUUUCUAGAUCCAUUUCGUGGGUGAGUCGCUCUUCGUACUAACGUCGCGCGCAGUCCCUCGAUGACGUCGUCGCGCGUGUUUCUUUUUCGGCUCCAGGGUCGUUUUAGAGAUACCCGGCGUUACAGAUUCUUGUGGGCGGCGAGGCGUUGUCCUAGAGUAUAGCUCGUCCGCGUUUGGUACAAUUAAAAUUUUGUCGGCUCGCUCGGAGUGCUCUUUACCGAGUGUUCCAGGGUGGCUGACACGUUCACUUUGAAAAAAUUAGAGUGCUUAAAGCGGGCUUAUUUACGGCCUGAAUGUCUGUGCAUGGAAUGAAGUAACAGGACCUCGAUUCUGUUGUUUUUGUCGGUUUUAAUGAACCGAGGUAAUGAUUAAAAGGGACAGACGGUGGCAUUAGUAUUGCGGCGCUAGAGGUGAAAUUCUUGGACCGUCGCAAGACUAACUACUGCGAAAGCAUUUGCCGAGAAUGUUUUCAUUAAUCAAGAACGAAAGUUAGAGGAUCGAAGGCGAUCAGAUACCGCCCUAGUUCUAACCCUAAACUAUGCUAACUAGCGAUCCGCCGGAGUCAUUCCCACGACCCGGCGGGAAGCCCCAGGGAAACCAAAGUCUUUGAGUUCCGGGGGAAGUAUGGUUGCAAAGCUGAAACUUAAAGGAAUUGACGGAAGGGCACCACCAGGAGUGGAGCCUGCGGCUUAAUUUGACUCAACACGGGAAACCUCACCAGGCCCGGACAUCAUAAGGAUUGACAGGUUGAGAGCUCUUUCUCGAUUUGAUGGGUGGUGGUGCAUGGCCGUUCUUAGUUGGUGGAGUGAUCUGUCUGGUUGAUUCCGAUAACGAACGAGACUCUAACCUACUAACUAGUCGGCGGAUCGUAACCCUGAGAUGGUUAGUUUGUAUAGGGGAGGUUCGCCUAGAUGGAGUCCGGUCAAUAGUGGUUCCCGUUCAUUCGUUAUUUAUAGCGGUGGGUGGGGGCUGUUCUAGCGAUCGAUGCUUUGUCGAAGCUACUCUCCGAUUACUGCUGCUGCUGGGGGCGUCCGUCGCAAUGUAUCUUCUUAGAGGGAUCAGCGGCGUAUAGCCGCACGAGAAAGAGCAAUAACAGGUCUGUGAUGCCCUUAGAUGUUCUGGGCCGCACGCGCGCUACAAUGUAGGGCUCAGCGUGCUUUCCCUCUCCGAAAGGAGCGGGUAACCCGUUGAAACCCCUACCCGAUUGGGAUUGGGGAUUGCAAUUAUUUCCCAUAAACGAGGAAUUCCCAGUAAGCGCGAAUCAUUAAUUCGCGCUGAUUACGUCCCUGCCCUUUGUACACACCGCCCGUCGCUACUACCGAUUGAAUGAUUCAGUGAGGGCAUCGGACUGGCCCUUCGGUUUAGUAACCUAGACCUUAGGCUGACGGAAAGAUGUCCGAACUUGAUCAUUUAGAGGAAGUAAAAGUCGUACAAGGUUUCCGUAGUG
rnacentral:rRNA from 1 species